rnacentral:lncRNA from 1 species
AGAUUAAUCAGGGUCAGAUCUGCAUUACCUAUAUUCGGUCUUCUGAUCAGGUGGCAGAUAUUCUAACCAAAGGGCUUAGCUCAGUGUCUUUUUCUGGAUUGAUUGACAAGAUGGGGCUUCGAGAUAUCUUCGCCUCAUCUUGAGGGGGAGUAUUGGAAGGAUUGAACUUAAUUGGAAAACUAUCAAAUUAAAGGUCCAGGGAUUUAUUCCUUAGCAUAUUUUUGAUUAUUCUCUGGCAUAUUCUUGUUAUUCCCUA